ACGGGAGGCAGCAGUGGGGAAUAUUGCACAAUGGGGGAAACCCUGAUGCAGCGACGCCGCGUGAGUGAAGAAGUAUUUCGGUAUGUAAAGCUCUAUCAGCAGGGAAGAAAAUGACGGUACCUGACUAAGAAGCACCGGCUAAAUACGUGCCAGCAGCCGCGGUAAUACGUAUGGUGCAAGCGUUAUCCGGAUUUACUGGGUGUAAAGGGAGCGUAGACGGCGAGGCAAGUCUGAAGUGAAAUGCGGGGGCUCAACCCCUGAACUGCUUUGGAAACUGUUUUGCUAGAGUGCGGGAGAGGUAAGUGGAAUUCCUAGUGUAGCGGUGAAAUGCGUAGAUAUUAGGAGGAACACCGGCGGCGAAGGCGGCUUACUGGACUGUAACUGACGUUGAGGCUCGAAAGCGUGGGGAGCAAACAGGAUUAGAUACCCUGGUA
rnacentral:rRNA from 1 species